rnacentral:snoRNA from 1 species
AUCAAAGGUGAUUCCCUCCCCAAGGGGUCUAUUAGUGCGUUUUUCAGGAACAUAGCAACUUGGAAUGCAAUCUGGCAUGGCUAAGCUAUUCAAGGGACAGGGGAUACUUAUUUAUUUUGCCUCUUUUUGGCUGCCUACAUGU